rnacentral:rRNA from 1 species
UACGGAGGGUGCAAGCGUUAUCCGGAUUUACUGGGCGUAAAGGGCGCGUAGGCGGCCACGUCACGUCAGUUGUGAAAUCUCUGGGCUUAACUCAGAACGGUCAACUGAUACUGUCGGGCUAGAGUGCAGAAGGGGCAACCGGAAUUCUCGGUGUAGCGGUGAAAUGCGUAGAUAUCGAGAGGAACACCUGCGGCGAAGGCGGGUUGCUGGGCUGACACUGACGCUGAGGCGCGAAAGCUAGGGGAGCGAACGGG